AUGCCGUGAUGUCUGGAGCCCUUUGCAGAAGGCAGAAGGCGAGCUUCUACAAUGGGCUCCUGUGUGGCUUGCCAACAACAAGCACCGGCUUAUUUUUGCACAGAUGCACAUGGCUUACUUUGAAGGACACUUUCCAUCCCUGCUUUCCGUCUACUUUCAUCACCCUGCAUCAUGCAACCUGAAAGCACUUCCCCAUCGAUGUACUUGGCUAUAUCUACGUCUGACCUGUCUGCCAUAUGUAAUAUCAAAGCCUCUGUCAGCGUGGAGCUGAAUGGGAACAAAAGAGAGGCCUCCAUUAAUGAUUAACUGUUCUAAAAGCCCCGGCUUUUGUAUUCCCAUGGUGCCCGGGCUAUCUGGCCACCAUGUGACAUGCUCACAGCAUUUUUCGAGCAGAUUGGGGGAAAGCUAGUGAGCAAACACAGGUGCUUUGGAGCAGCGUUGCCGACGCUGUCAGGGACAACCACAAACAAGAGCAGCUAUGCCUGGCUAAAUGAAUCCCCACCCCUCCCAACACCAUCACCACCUCCGCUGCUCCCCCCCGCUCUCAGUCGCUAGCUAACCUGUUUGCUAGCUCCCUAUAGCUUUCUCCCCUGCAAAGCCUUCCUUCUGGAGCGUCCCCACGUCCCCCCCUACAAGUCCAAUGUCCGCUACAGCCGCUGCUCCACAACUUCUCACACCCUCCAAAGAAACAAACAAAUAAAAAUGAGGACGGCCGACCACUUCUUUGAGGUGAUGGCAUUUGCUGUGGUCAUGACUAGUGGGAGAGCAAACAAAUUAAUGGCGUUCGAGUUUUCACUUUCCAAACCAAACUAAAUGUCUUUUAGUUCAAGUGGGGCAAUUCCACUGACCUUGGUGUCACACGCUGUAUAAGGGUUGCACACUCUUACACUUGAAAUGCUGAGAGGAGGCCGUAAGAAAUUAAACAAGGCUUGAGUAUUGGCCUACAUGGACCUGGUUUGUUAAAUGACAUGUGACCUAUAAAUCUUGAAUAAACUGUGUGUGUAAUAAAUACUCAUGGUUUAUUUAUUGUUUUUUGCUGUUUAUGUAUUUGGACCACAAACUUGAACAAGAGGUGUGUGGAGCACUUAACCUUUUCAUCGGGGCUGACUGAUUGUUCAGAGUGACUGGGGGUGCUGUGUCGCUCAACUUUGAUAAGACAAUCAGAUGAUAGGAUGGCGUUAUCUUAACAUGGCUUUCCGGCUGGGGGACAAAUGAACAGUGUGUGAUAACAGGAACAAAAGCUUGGCUCUUAUUGGCUGGCUCCUCCAAAGAAAGGGGGGAAAUUAUCAGGAUGGAAAAUUCACAAUAGGCACAGUUUAUUUCAUUUUCAAUUUUCUACUUAGCCCAGGUCACAGGGACAGCUUCUUUUUUUCUAAUCACUCAAAUAUUUAUAUUGUCUCUUGUUGGCAUUUUGGUCUCACAGUCUGUAAUUACCUGCGCCUAUAAAGCUGUUAUUAUCACUGGAAAGAUAAUAAAAAAAAUAUUUUAAAACAAACAAUUUAAAUCAACAGGGGAGGAAAUUAAGUUGUAAAAGUCAGAGAGACAGAUACAGAAAAGCAGGCUGUGAGUAAGAAUAUAUAUACUGUGGACAAUGAGAAAUUGAAGAAUUAAAAAUAUGGCGUGUGCGUGUGUGUGUGAUGGAAAGACGGAGGAAGAAGAAGGUCAAAAGUUGUUUCUUCAGAGACCCACUACUGAUCAGUAAAACGCCACUUCUGUCUGUGUUUCCUGACUUUUGCAGCCCAAUUCUCAGAGUCAGAGAGGAGUGUGUGUACACUCAAGGAUUCACUCAAGGCUUUGUUUGCUCUAUAGCCAAAAAAAUGAUUGGAAAAAAUAUUGGUGCCCUGGCAUGAACUUUCUUAGAACUAAAAAAACCCCUUUGAAACUGUGUGGAAAUUGCAUGAAUAAAAUAUCUCUUUUUAAA